rnacentral:rRNA from 1 species
CCUACGGGAGGCAGCAGUGGGGAAUCUUGCGCAAUGGGCGAAAGCCUGACGCAGCCAUGCCGCGUGAAUGAUGAAGGUCUUAGGAUUGUAAAAUUCUUUCAGUAGGGACGAUAAUGACGGUACCUACAGAAGAAGCCCCGGCUAACUUCGUGCCAGCAGCCGCGGUAAUACGAAGGGGGCUAGCGUUGCUCGGAAUUACUGGGCGUAAAGGGAGCGUAGGCGGACAUUUAAGUCAGGGGUGAAAUCCCAGAGCUCAACUCUGGAACUGCCUUUGAUACUGGGUGUCUUGAGUGUGAUAGAGGUAUGUGGAACUCCGAGUGUAGAGGUGAAAUUCGUAGAUAUUCGGAAGAACACCAGUGGCGAAGGCGACAUACUGGAUCAUUACUGACGCUGAGGCUCGAAAGCGUGGGGAGCAAACAGGAUUAGAUACCCUGGUAGUCCACGCCGUAAACGAUGAUGNUAGUGUCGGUUGUUACGUACCGGUACGACGCAGCUACGCAUAAGUACACUCCGCCGUCGGGUAGGUACGGUCGCGAAGAAUUAAACUAACAACGUAAGUAGUAGACGUGUAGAGAGCGACGACGACGACGACGGAGGAGG